AGAAUCAACGCUGGCGGCGUGCCUAACACAUGCAAGUCGAACGAGAAAGUGGAGCAAUCCAUGAGUAAAGUGGCGACCGGGUGAGUAACACGUGACUAACCUACCCUAGAGUGGGGAAUAACCUCGGGAAACCGGGCUAAUACCGCAUAACAUCGCAGAGGGAAGCUCUUUGCGAUCAAAGGAGUAAUUCGCUCAAGGAGGGGGUCGCGGCUGAUUAGUUAGUUGGUGAGGUAACGGCCCACCAAGACUUAGAUCAGUAUCCGGCCUGAGAGGGCGCACGGACACACUGGAACUGAAACACGGUCCAGACUCCUACGGGAGGCAGCAGUGGGGAAUUUUGCGCAAUGGGGGAAACCCUGACGCAGCAACGCCGCGUGGAGGAUGAAGUCCCUUGGGAUGUAAACUCCUUUCGAUCGGGACGAUUAUGACGGUACCGGAAGAAGAAGCACCGGCUAACUCUGCGCCAGCAGCCGC
rnacentral:rRNA from 1 species